rnacentral:rRNA from 1 species
GAGUUUGAUCAUGGCUCAGAUUGAACGCUGGCGGCAUGCCUUACACAUGCAAGUCGAACGGCAGCACGGGUGCUUGCACCUGGUGGCGAGUGAGCGAACGGCGUGAGUAAUACAUCGGAACAUGUCCUGUAGUGGGGGAUAGCCCGGCGAAAGCCGGAUUAAUACCGCAUACGAUCUACGGAUGAAAGCGGGGGACCUUCGGGCCUCGCGCUAUAGGGUUGGCCGAUGGCUGAUUAGCUAGUUGGUGGGGUAAAGGCCUACCAAGGCGACGAUCAGUAGCUGGUCUGAGAGGACGACCAGCCACACUGGGACUGAGACACGGCCCAGACUCCUACGGGAGGCAGCAGUGGGGAAUUUUGGACAAUGGGCGAAAGCCUGAUCCAGCAAUGCCGCGUGUGUGAAGAAGGCCUUCGGGUUGUAAAGCACUUUUGUCCGGAAAGAAAUCCUUGGCUCUAAUACAGUCGGGGGAUGACGGUACCGGAAGAAUAAGCACCGGCUAACUACGUGCCAGCAGCCGCGGUAAUACGUAGGGUGCGAGCGUUAAUCGGAAUUACUGGGCGUAAAGCGUGCGCAGGCGGUUUGCUAAGACCGAUGUGAAAUCCCCGGGCUCAACCUGGGAACUGCAUUGGUGACUGGCAGGCUAGAGUAUGGCAGAGGGGGGUAGAAUUCCACGUGUAGCAGUGAAAUGCGUAGAGAUGUGGAGGAAUACCGAUGGCGAAGGCAGCCCCCUGGGCCAAUACUGACGCUCAUGCACGAAAGCGUGGGGAGCAAACAGGAUUAGAUACCCUGGUAGUCCACGCCCUAAACGAUGUCAACUAGUUGUUGGGGAUUCAUUUCCUUAGUAACGUAGCUAACGCGUGAAGUUGACCGCCUGGGGAGUACGGUCGCAAGAUUAAAACUCAAAGGAAUUGACGGGGACCCGCACAAGCGGUGGAUGAUGUGGAUUAAUUCGAUGCAACGCGAAAAACCUUACCUACCCUUGACAUGGUCGGAAUCCCGCUGAGAGGUGGGAGUGCUCGAAAGAGAACCGGCGCACAGGUGCUGCAUGGCUGUCGUCAGCUCGUGUCGUGAGAUGUUGGGUUAAGUCCCGCAACGAGCGCAACCCUUGUCCUUAGUUGCUACGCAAGAGCACUCUAAGGAGACUGCCGGUGACAAACCGGAGGAAGGUGGGGAUGACGUCAAGUCCUCAUGGCCCUUAUGGGUAGGGCUUCACACGUCAUACAAUGGUCGGAACAGAGGGUUGCCAACCCGCGAGGGGGAGCUAAUCCCAGAAAACCGAUCGUAGUCCGGAUUGCACUCUGCAACUCGAGUGCAUGAAGCUGGAAUCGCUAGUAAUCGCGGAUCAGCAUGCCGCGGUGAAUACGU